UCGAACGAGAAAGUUCCUUCGNGAGCGAGUAAAGUGGCGGACGGGNGAGUAACGCGUAGGAAUCUNCCUNUCAGUGGGGGAUAGCUCGGGGAAACUCGAAUUAAUACCGCAUACACCCUUCGGGGGAAAGGGGGCCUCUCCUNGGAAGCUCUCGCUGUUAGAUGAGCCUGCGUGAGAUUAGCUUGUUGGUAAGGUAAUGGCUUACCAAGGCUACGAUCUCUAGCUGGUCUGAGAGGACGAUCAGCCACACUGGGACUGAGACACGGCCCAGACUCCUACGGGAGGCAGCAGUAGGGAAUAUUGGACAAUGGGGGCAACCCUGAUCCAGGCAUGCCGCGUGUGUGAAGAAGGCCUUAGGGUUGUAAAGCACUUUAAGUGAGGAAGAAAAGAUUUAAAUUAAUACUUUAAGUCCCUGACAUUACUCACAGAAUAAGGACCGGCUAACUCCGUGCCAGCAGCCGCGGUAAUACGGAGGGUCCAAGCGUUAAUCGGAAUUACUGGGCGUAAAGCGCGCGUAGAUGGUUUAUUCAGUUGGGUGUGAAAUCCCUGGGCUCAACCUAGGAACUGCAUUCAAAACUUAUAAACUAGAGUACGAAAGAGGAGAGUAGAAUUCAUGGUGUAGCGGUGAAAUGCGUAGAGAUCAUGAGGAAUACCAGUGGCGAAGGCGACUCUCUGGUUCGAGACUGACAUUGAGGUGCGAAAGCGUGGGUAGCAAACAGGAUUAGAUACCCUGGUAGUCCACGCCGUANACGAUGAGAACUAGCCGUUGGAUCUUUAGAUUCNGUGGCGCANCUAACGCAUUAAGUUCUCCGNCUGGGGA
rnacentral:rRNA from 1 species